UACGGAGGGUGCAAGCGUUGUUCGGAAUUACUGGGCGUAAAGGGCGCGUAGGCGGCCCUCUAAGUCGGACGUGAAAUCCCUCGGCUCAACCGGGGAACUGCGUCCGAUACUGGAGGGCUUGAAUCCGGGAGAGGGAUGUGGAAUUCCAGGUGUAGCGGUGAAAUGCGUAGAUAUCUGGAGGAACACCGGUGGCGAAGGCGGCAUCCUGGACCGGUAUUGACGCUGAGGCGCGAAAGCUAGGGUAGCAAACGGGG
rnacentral:rRNA from 1 species